rnacentral:rRNA from 1 species
UAUGUAGGGCGCAAGCGUUAUCCGGAAUUAUUGGGCGUAAAGAGCUCGUAGGCGGUUUGUCGCGUCUGCCGUGAAAGUCCAGGGCUCAACCCUGGAAUGCCGGUGGAAACUGUCGGGCUGGAGUCCGGAAGAGGCGAGUGGAAUUCCUGGUGUAGCGGUGAAAUGCGCAGAUAUCAGGAGGAACACCGGUGGCGAAGGCGGCGACCUGGGUAGAUACUGACGCUGAGGCGCGAAAGCGUGGGGAGCAAACAGG